rnacentral:lncRNA from 1 species
CUAGGCCGUAAUGAGGGUCCUUGAGGACAGAAUCAGAAUGUAAGGAGAAAAUGUUUUCAGCUGGAACUUAAAUAGACCGGCCACAAAUAACCCGUAAUUCUCUAUAAAUGGACUGUCAUGCUGAGAACAGCUUUAUGCCACGCUGAUCCUAGCUCCACAAGAGCCGGCUAAGCUACACUUACCCAGUAGCAGGUCACACUCCAGAGCCCACUGGAUUCUUGCUGACACAAUAAGUACGCUUCCAGCUGGGGCCAAGAACAAUCUGGACUCAGGCAGAGUGUGAAUUACAGUGAAGAGCUACCACCCUCCUAACCACAGCCAAUCAACAGAAAAUAAACACAGGUAGGAGAAGGAAUGAACUCCUUUCCACAACAUGAGUACAUCACUUUUUCUCUGUUACAGUUUUGUGGAGGAAAUCAUCCCCUUGGGAUCUUCAGCGUUGUCUCAUUUACCUCCGCUCUCUCUAGAACUGGGUGGUGCAAAAAUGCCUAAGCCUUCUUGGGAAAGGAAACUGAGUGCCACAUGCAUAGGAGGCGUGGCUAUGGGUCAGCUGGUGUACCUCUAAUGCAAGUACCUCACAUGCUUAAAAUGGUUCUUCCUCCUAUCCCUCCUUUCCGUAAACUGCACCCUCUGUUUCACCCAAAACCAAAAUGGUAAAAUCACUGAGAAAACACAAGAGUUAUUGAAAUCAAAGUGUUAACAAUUCCUUUUAAGUGUAUCUUGCGUUUUAAAUGGAUGUGGUAUCUUAAUAUCAUAUUGUGAUUAUAUUUUUAAUUUUUCAAAGCCACAACCUGACUUAAAAGAGGUCAAUAUUCUUUUCCUCCUUUAAUAAAAUUGUACUGACAAGUUUUAAUAAAAGCUGUGCCUGUUUUAUAUUUUCUUGUUGUGGAUUAUAUACAAAAUUAAAUAUAGAAUCAUUUUAUGUUCAGUUAACAACUUUUAAUUUUUUUCCUAAUUGAAAUGUAAGAGUGUACAUAUUGUUACUAUGUAAGGCUUUGUAAAAUGUAGUCCUUUUAAAGCUAAAAGAAUAGGACCAAAAUAAUUCAACAUAAACAUGUAUUAAUCAUGUGUCAAUUACCAUUUAAAUCUGUACUACUAUUUUACUAUAGAUAACUUACUGAACACCUCCCUUCAAAAUAAA